AUCGAACAUUGUAAAUACAAGAAAAAACUUCAAAUAUCCCCUUGUGGUUUUAUUUUUUCUCACUUUUAUACCCUGUGGUUUAAAGGGUAUCAAGUUAGUACCAUAUAAUUUUAUACUUUUUCACUUUAGUACUCUGUGGUUUAAAAUGUAUCAAGCUAGUACCCUGUGGUUUCACAGUUUAUCACUUUAGUACCAUGUGGUUUCGUAUUUUAUCAUUUUAGUACCAUGUGGUUUAAAAACUAUAGGGUACUAACUUGAUACAAAAAUAAAACUACAGAGUACUAACUUGAUACACUUUAAACAACAGGAUACUAAAGUGAUAAAAUGAGAAACCACAUGGUACUAACUUGAUAUACUUUAAACCAUAAGGUACUAAAAUAAAAAAGUGCGAAACUACAGUGGAGAUUUUUGAAGUUUUCCCUAAAUACAAGUAAGAGGGGUUCACCAUUGUAGAAGAACAGAGGUCUUUAUCCUCUUAAGUUAUUUUAAAUGAUAGAGAUUCUGAAUCGGUAAUCAAAAUUAUUAAAGUUGAUUUAAAGUAUUUAUAAUGUCCAAAAAUUAAAUUUUAUAUAUUUUAAAAUUCGUUAUCAAAUUUAUUGAAGAGUUGAAAAAUAAACGAUAAAAAAAGAAUAAUCUUGUAAAAAUAUAUGUUAGACUUUUUCAAUUGAUGAUCGAAGUUUUCAAACGUAUCUAAAUAGUAUAAAGAAUUUUUUAUCAAAAAUUCAAGAUGGUUGGAUUGUUCUACGCCGUUAAACAAGCAAACGGUUCAUAUAGAUUAUAAAAAUCUGUCGAUUUUGUGAUCCUUGAUCACACGUAAAUAAUUUCUAAAAUUCAUGAAAUUUAGUUUUUAGACACUUUAAAUACUCUAUAUUAACUUUACUAAUUAUAAUCAUCAAUUUGAAAUUUU
rnacentral:lncRNA from 1 species